CGCAUUCAGGAGUAAUCCUGUCUGUGUUUGGGCAGAAGUCAGCAGAGGCCAUAGGAGGC
rfam:Endozoicomonas montiporae strain LMG 24815 scaffold00004, whole genome shotgun sequence.